UACAGAGGUCUCAAGCGUUGUUCGGAAUCACUGGGCGUAAAGGGUGCGUAGGCGGCGUGGAAAGUCAGAUGUGAAAUCCGGGGGCUCAACCUCCGAACUGCAUCCGAUACUCCCGCGCUAGAGGGUUGUAGGGGGGCUUGGAAUUCUCGGUGUAGCAGUGAAAUGCGUAGAUAUCGAGAAGAACGCUCGCAGCGAAAGCGAAGCCCUGGGCAACAUCUGACGCUGAUGCACGAAGGCUAGGGGAGCAAACGGG
rnacentral:rRNA from 1 species